GACGAACGCUGGCGGCGUGCUUAACACAUGCAAGUCGAACGGAAAGGCCCUGCGUUUGUGGGGUGCUCGAGUGGCGAGCGGGUGAGUAACACGUGAGUAACAUGCCCUUGUCUUUGGGGUAACUUCACGAAACUGGGGCGAAUACCGGGUAGGAGCUCCUGCUGCGUGGGGGGGGUUGGAGAGUUUCGGCGGUGCGGGCUCGACUCGCGGCGUAUCCGCUUGAUGGUCGGGUAGGGGCUUAACCAGGCUUUGACGGGUAGCCGACGUGUGCGAGGGGUCGGCGGCCUUAGAGGGGGACCACGCACAAUGGGACUGAGAGACGGCCCAGUCGGCUACCGGACGCAGCAGGGGGGAACAUGGCACAACGGGCCGAAGCCUGAUACAGCAGCGCCGCGAGCGGGAUGCCGGCCUUCGGGGUGUAAACCGCUUUCGCCUUUGACGAAGAGUGAGUGACGGUAAUGGGUAAAGAAGCACCGGCUAACUACGUG
rnacentral:rRNA from 1 species